GCCGGUGUAGCUCAGUCGGCCAGAGCGCCUGACUCGUAAUCAGGAGGUCGCCGGUUCGACUCCGGCCACCGGCU
rnacentral:tRNA from 1 species